UACGUGAGUGGCAAGCGUUAUCCGGAAUUACUGGGCGUAAAGAGCGCGUAGGUGUUUUUGAAAGUCAGGGGUGAAAAGUCAGGGCUCAACCUUGGCCUUGCCCUUGAAACUUCAAGAAUAGAGUACGGGAUAGGAGGGCGGAACUACAAGUGUAGCGGUGGAAUGCAUAGAUAUUUGUAGGAAUGCCGAUGACGAAGGUAGCUCUCUGGACCGAUACUGACGCUGAGGUGCGAAAGCUAGGGGAGCAAACAGG
rnacentral:rRNA from 1 species